rnacentral:lncRNA from 1 species
AUAACAGAGUCUAGCUCAGGGAUUGCAUUUUCAUGUAUAAAUCUUCCCGUAACAGCAAGGAUCUAUAUUUGGCUUGAGAAAUGAUUGAUGUUCCCUUUGAGAAAACGCUUUUUAAAGAUACACACAUUUGUUCAUGGGUGUGCCUGAAGUUCUGGGAAUGAAGCAGAGCCGUGGAGAGCCAGCUCAGUGGUUAUGAGGAAGUUAUUAAGACUCUCCAUCCUGACCUUGCCAUGGCUGAAAAUAAAUAGCAGCUUUCCUUAGAGAUUUCUGGAAAAAAAAAUAAUAAAACUCAAGAGGAGGGGCUGUGACUAAGGUGUCAUGAAUCCAGUUUUCCUGACCGGAUAGGAAGGUCAUGAACAAGGAUGCGACAUUUAAAAUAUCAGUCGUUUCUUCAGAAACAGACUCACAGACAGAAAAGAACAGUGUGAUUGCUGAGGAGAAGGGGUUAUAUGGAUCGGAAGUUUGGGAUUUGCAGAUGCAAACUACUCUAUAUAGAAUGGAUAAAACAAGGUGGGGAACUAUAUUCAAUAUACUGUAAUAAACCAUAAUAGAAAAGAAAAUGAAACAGCUGAAUAAUUUUGCUGUACAGCUGAAACUAACCCAACAUUG